GCCUCGGUAGCUCAACUGGUUAGAGCAGUGGACUCUUAAUCCGAAGGUUGAGGGUUCGAGUCCCUCCCGAGGCAC
rnacentral:tRNA from 1 species